rnacentral:rRNA from 1 species
UACGUAGGGUGCAAGCGUUGUCCGGAAUUAUUGGGCGUAAAGAGCUUGUAGGCGGUUUGUUGCGUCUGCUGUGAAAUUUCGGGGCUCAACCCCGAACUUGCAGUGGGUACGGGCAGACUAGAGUGUGGUAGGGGAGACUGGAAUUCCUGGUGUAGCGGUGAAAUGCGCAGAUAUCAGGAGGAACACCGAUGGCGAAGGCAGGUCUCUGGGCCGCUACUGACGCUGAGAAGCGAAAGCAUGGGGAGCGAACAGG